rnacentral:lncRNA from 1 species
CAAAGUGUCCUAGGUACUCCUAGGAAGCCCUUUUUUAUGUGCAAGUGUUUUAGUUGAAAAGAUAUUUGCUAAAAAACUAGAAUGAGGAGAUGAGAAAAGAAUUUGUUUAUUUACAAUUUUGUGUUUGACAAGACCUUCGGUCUUAUGCUUACGUACCAACAUAAAAAUGAGGGAUCAAAACCUCGUAGUUCAUCGUAAAAAUUUCGUAGAUGGGUGGAUUGAUUUUAA